UCUAACCACUAGGCAAGACCACCUGGUUUUCUGACAAAAAACAGUUGCUGGAAACUUCCGUGUGCAUCAUGUGUGAGAAAUAUUUGGGAGGACACUGGAGCAGAUUGUGCCUGACGAAUGGCUGACUCGACGGACCACCCUUCCAGUGACAUAGACAACUGUCAUCCCUUUGCCUUCCAUUGCCCCAGCAGAGCAUCUGGCCCUGUGAAUAAAGCUCCGAUGAUUGAGACUCCUCCAGCAGUUUCCAGGUCCCCAAAGCCACAUUCUCAAAUGAAGAGUUGGGACCCCAGCUGGGGCCAUGGGACUAGCAGAAAUGGGGGCACAACCAGCGGCAAUCAGGAUUCUGCUGCCCAAGAUCACCUCUGGUGCUUGCAAUAGGAUUUCUGGGCAGCUCAGAUAGCAAAGGGUGAUUGUUUUGCCAAGGGCAUUGCACUGCUCAGCUGUGAUGGGCUUAGUGUUCCCACCCAGCCCUAUUUCUGUCCUUCAGUUGGCUCAAUGACCCCUAGAUGUGAAUUUUAUAUACAGCAAUGGCCAAUUCUUAAUAUCUGCUUCUGGGGUGGAGGAGGGGCAGGGCCUGUGCCAGUGAAAUAUGAAUAUUUGUGGCACAUGAAUACAUGGAGAUAUGAGCACAGUGGGUGCUGAGCAGGCCCAGACUGAGGGCAUCCAGCCCAGUGCCCUGUGUCAGACAGCACCCAGCACUUGCUGUUUCAAAGAAAGGUGCAACUGUUACCCCCCUUGUGGACUCUGGUGGAAUAACCCACCCAUGGUGAAGGUCUUUUAUGCAGGAUUUACCCAGCUCCAGGUGGGACCCAAGGCCUCUGCCUGUGCUGCAAAAAGGGGCCCUUGGAUCCAAAGCCAAUGACAGUUGUUGCCUCUGCUCUGGGAGCCUCUCUCUGUCCAAAUUUCAAGUGCAUUUGUGAUGACACAAAGCAUCAAAGCUCCAUCCAAACUGAGGGUCCUGGGAGCCGUUAUCAUCCACAGCCAGGCUGUGAGCUCUCAAGGGGGCUGGGUUCAGGGGAAGAAAAAGAUUAGCUUGGAGCCAAGCCCACCUCUGCCCUCCAGUCUGCCAGCCCUGGUGCUCUCAGAGUGAUGCAAGCACAUGCCGCUGUGGAGAGAGCAGGACAGCCAGAGGGAGCAGCCCAGAUCUCAGAUCUGGCCCAGGGGCUGGCCUAUGCUCUAGGAGAGGCGGCUGCAUGGUGGGGUCUAGGUCUUGGAAAGGGGUAAUGCUCCCAGGGAGAAGUAGUGCCAGCACAGCAAGUGGCUUCAGGUUCAAAUCCCAAUGACCCCUUGGUACUAGGAGCAUUUGGCAAGUUCAGGCUCAUACUAAGGUGCAGGGUCUGUGGAUGCUGCAAUUGCUGCAGCUGUGCAGGCACAACCCAGCUGGUUUGAACACAGCUAGAGGGUUAGUCAGAGCAAGCUUAUACACAGGGGGUUCUCACUCAGCCACUUGGUGGCUUUUCAGUCUGUGGUGCUGUGGAUAUGCUGCUAGCAAUAGCAGCCCCUGCACCCCUUGUCUUCUUCUUAUCUCAAUGCUGUCUAUACACCCUGCGGUCUACACACCCUUUUGUAGACAGGCCCCACGAAUCAGAUUAACUGAGGUGCUUAACCUUCUGGCUCUGCAGGUCAGAUGAGUGGGACAGGGCUGGAUCCCACACCCGGGGUUAAUCCAGGGACUGGAUCUUCAGAGGAACAGGAAGUCCUAUGGAGCCCAUCAGCAACAGUGAUGCCUCUCUCCCCUUCCACUUCCCCCACCCUGAGCUCCAGGAUGACAAGAGCUGUGUAAAACCCUGCCAGUAACAUCUUAUAAAAUGUUCCAUCUCUGCCGUGGCUCAGCCAGGCCAGGGGGCUCUGGUGCAUUUUAAUUCCUUUGUUCCAUAUAACAAAGUUGCUCAUAGCUGU